CAGCAGCCGCGGUAAUACGGAGGGAGCUAGCGUUGUUCGGAAUUACUGGGCGUAAAGCGCGCGUAGGCGGUUACUCAAGUCAGAGGUGAAAGCCCGGGGCUCAACCCCGGAACUGCCUUUGAAACUAGGUGACUAGAAUCUUGGAGAGGUCAGUGGAAUUCCGAGUGUAGAGGUGAAAUUCGUAGAUAUUCGGAAGAACACCAGUGGCGAAGGCGGCUCACUGGCCCGGUACUGACGCUGAGGUGCGAAAGCGUGGGGAGCAAACAGGAUUAGAUACCCCUGUAGUCCCUGUCUCUUAUAC
rnacentral:rRNA from 1 species